GUCCACGCUGUAAACGAUGGGUACUAGGUUUGGUAGGUCUUGACCCCUGCCGAACCGGAGCUAACGCAAUAAGUACCCCGCCUGGGAAGUACGGUCGCAAGACUAAAACUCAAAGGAAUUGACGGGGGCCCGCACAAGCGGUGGAUCAUGUGGUUUAAUUCGAAGCAACGCGAAGAACCUUACAUGGAUUUGACAUCUCCUGACAACCGUAGAGAUACGGCUUCUGUAGCAAUACAGCAGGAAGACAGGUGCUGCAUGGCUGUCGU
rnacentral:rRNA from 1 species